rnacentral:rRNA from 1 species
UACGAAGGGGCUAGCGUUGCUCGGAAUUACUGGGCGUAAAGGGCGCGUAGGCGGGUGUUUAAGUCAGAGGUUAAAUCCCAGAGCUCAACUCUGGAACUGCCUUUGAUACUGGACACCUAGAGUACGGGAGAGGUGUGUGGAACUCCGAGUGUAGAGGUGAAAUUCGUAGAUAUUCGGAAGAACACCAGUGGCGAAGGCGGCUCACUGGACCGGUAUUGACGCUGAGGUGCGAAAGCGUGGGGAGCAAACAGG